GAACUACAACACCUUUAAAUGUGAAACAAAGAGUCUUUUGAUAAAGACAUAGCAGUCCAACAAUUCACUGAACAAGAUGAACUCGCUACUGAAAGCAAAUGCUCCCAGACCUCUGGCACACUUCUAGUGUCUUCCACGGUGAAGACAGAUGCAAGACUGAAGACUGAUUUGAUGGAGACAGCCGUGAGAAGCACGAAGGAACAUCUGGAGAAACUUCUGAAAUGCCCGCUUUGCUGCCACUGCUACUGUGCGAUUGAGAAUCUCUGGCGGGGAAGACCCCAGAUCCUCGGCUUUGCCUAUUGCCUGUUGCUGGGGCUGGAGUCGAAGCGCUCGGCAGAGAUGGUGCUCGGUGCUCGGUGUCGGAGGGCUGGUCGGAAGCUCGAAGUUUUCAGACGGACUCAAGAGUCGGCUGUGUUCGGGUGCUUCCAGGGUGCUGCAUUGGCAAGUUUGCGGCGCUGGAAGCUCAUGGCAGGAAGAGAAUUUCUCUUCCUUCUACUGUCUGUGUGAGAUGAUGGGACUUUCGAGAGACUUUGAGACUUUUUUUUAACCGUGCCCAUGGUCUGUUCUUUAUCAAAUUAUGGUAUUGCUUUGCACUGUUGUAACUAUGUGUUAUAAUUAUGUGGUUUUUGUCAGUUUUUCAGUCUUGGUUUGUCUUGUGUUUCUGUGAUAUCAUUCUGGAGGAACAUUGUCUCAUUUCUUAAUACAUGCAUUACUAAAUGACAAUAAAAGAGGAUUACGUGUCCUCAUAAUCUAAAAAAAAGUACCCAUUGAGUUCAUCUGCCAUUUCUUUGUCCCCCAUUAAUACCUCACCAGCUUCAUUUUCCAGUGGUCCAAUAUCAACGUUCACCCCUCUUUUACUCUUUGUAUAACUGAGAAACUUUUAGUAUCCUGCUUUAUAUUAUUGGCUAGUCUGCCUUCAUAUUUCAGCUUUUCCCUUCUUAUAGCUUUUCAGUUGCCUUUUGUUGGAUUUUUAAACCUUCCCAAUCAUCCAUCCCACUCACUUUUGGCACCUUAUAUGCUCUUUCCUUGGCUUUUAUACAGUCUUUAACUUCCCUUAUCAACCACAGUUGUCUACCCCUGCCAUUUGAGAAUAUCUUCUUCUGUGUGACAUACCUAUCCUGCGCCUUGCGAACUAUUCUCAGAAACUUCAGUUUCCUCUGCCAGUAUCCUUUUCCAAUACACCUAGGCAAGCUCCUUCUUCAUGCCUCUGUAAUUCUCUUUAUUCCAUUGAGACACUAAGACAUGUACGUUAUUUAAUGCACUCUCAAUUUGCAGUUUAAAGCUAAUCAUAUUAUGCAGUUUAAAGCUAAUCAUAUUAUGAUCACUGUCUCCUUUACAUUAAGUUCCCUAUUAAGAUUUGGGUUAUUACAUAACACCCAAUCUAAGAUAGACUUUCCCCUAGUAGGCUCAAGCAAAGUUCCUCUAAAAAGCCAUCUCACAGGCAUUCAAAAAAUCCCCUCUCUUGCAAUCCUAUACCAACGUGAUUUUCCCACUUCCCUUACAUCUUGAAGUCCCCCAUUACAAUUGUGACAUUACCCUUAUUACAUGCCUUUUCCAGCUCCCUUUGCAAUCUCAACCCCACAUCUUGGUUACUAUUUGGAAACCUAUAUAUGAUUCCCAUAAUGUUUUUAUUCACCCUUGCAGUUUGUUAACUCCACCCACAAAGAUUCAACAUUCUCUGACCCUAUGUCACCUCUUUCUAAAUAUGUAAUUCCAUCGCUUACCAAGAGAGCCACACCACCGCCUCUGCCUUCUUGCCUGUCCUUUUGAUACUAAAUAUAUCCUUUCAUGUUAAGCUCCCAACUAUGGCCUUCUUCCAGCCAUGACAAGUGAUGCCCACAACGUCAUAACGACCAAUCCCUAAUUGUGCCAUGAGUCUGUCCACCUUAUUCCGAAUGCCACGCGUAAUUAAAUACAGCAUUUUCUGUUUUGCAUUUUUCGCCCUUUUGGAUUUUGCUUCUGAGGCACAAUUUAACUCUUUGCUCUGUCUGCAUUUGUAGGUAAUCAUUGACUUGUCCUUCCUAACAUUCACGUUAAACCCAUUAUCUACUUGUAAGUCUGCUGGCUCAUCCUCAGCUCGAUCAUAGUAGUUCCCAUCCCCCUGCCAUAUUAGUUUAAACCAUUCCCAAUAGCUCCCGUAAACCUGCCCAUUAGAAUAUUCAUCCCCUUGGAUUCAAGUGCAACCCAUCCCUUUUGUGCAAGUCCCACCUGCCCCAGAAGAGGUCCCAAUUAUCCAGAAAUAUGAAUCCCUGUCCCUGCUCCAAUUCUUCAGCCACACAUUUAUCUGCCACUUCAUUCUAUUCUUAUCCUGACUGUCACAUGGCAUGGGCCGCAGUCAUGAGAUUAUUGCACUUGAGGUCCUGCUUCAUAGUUUCCUUCCUGUUUUCUGCUUUCAGGACCUCCUCCUUUUCUCUACCUAAGUCAUUGGUACCAAUAUGUACCACAACUUCUGCCUGAUCACCCUCCUUUUUCAGGAUAUCGUGGACGCAUUCAGAAACAUUGUGGACCUUGGCACCUAGGAGGUAAACUACUAUGUGUUUCUUUUUCACGUCCACAGAACCGCCUAUUUGUCCCCCUAAUUAUAGAGUCCCCUAUUUUUACUGCCAUCCUCUUCAGUUCCCUACCCUUAUGAGCCACAGAGCCAAACUUAGUGUCAGAGGUACGGCUGCUGUUGCUUCCCUCAGGCAGGUCGAGUUAACCAACAGUACUCAAAGUAGAGUACUUAUUGUUGAGGGGGAAGGGCACAGGGGUGUUCUCCACUAUCUGACAUUCUCCAUUUCCUCUUCUGACAGUCACCCAUUCAUCUGUCUCCUGUAGCCUUAUGAGAUCAUUCUUACCCUCAUCCAUUCGGCUCUAUAAUGAGUCAACCCAUAGCCAGGGAAGUGAUGACACCCUCCUCUUAGGCUGUUUGAGGUAACUUAUUUUUUAUUCUUUCUUACUUCUCUUCUAAUAUCUGUAUGUUUGCACAUCUGUGCAUUUGUAACACCAUAAUUUCCUUUGGGAUCAAUAAGGUAUCUAUCUAUUCAUCUUAUAAAACUUCAGCGGUUCUCUCCUCAGUUUCCUUUGCUCCUGAAAAAAUAAUCCAAGUUGAUCCAACUUCUCCUUAUAACACAUGUCCUCUAAUCCAGGCAACAUCUUGGUAAACCUCUUCUGUACCCUUUCUAAAGCAUCCAGACCCUUCCUAAAAUGGAAAGAUUCGAAAUGAAAGUGAUAUUCCAGAUGUGACCUAAAUAGAGUUUUAUGAAGCUGCAACAUAGCUUACUGACUCUUGAUUAAUAAAGGAAAGCAUACCAUAUGCAUUCUUUACCACACUAUAAACCGGAGUAGUCACUUUCCAGGAGGUACUGACCUGGAACCCAAGAUCCCUCUGCUCAUCAACACUAUUAAAGAUAUUGUCAUUAACAGUGAACGUCUCUUUACAUUGAUCUCCCAAAUUCAAACACUUCAUAUUCAGCCAGAUUAAACUCUAUCUGCUAUUUCUCUGCCCAGAUCUGCAUCUGAUCUAUAUCCCAUUGUAUCAUUUGCUAGUCUUCUACACUAUCCACAACACUACCAAUCUUCAUUUCACUUGCAAAUUUACUAACUCACCCAUCUAGAUUUUCAUCCAGGUAAAUUAUUUCAGUCAGAAACAGCAGAAGUCCCAGUACCAACAUCUGUAGAGCAACUCUAGUCAAAGACCUCCAGCCUGAAUAAAUUCCAUUAGUCACUACCUUCUGUCUUCUAUGUGUAAGGGGUUUCUUGUUUUAUUUUACUGCUAAUGUGAAUAAAAUGGCUUCUUUAUAAUGUUAAAAUAAAAUGGCUUCUCUGUACUGUUAACUGCUGAGACAGUGGUUCUCUAUAGCAGCUUGUUCUGGGUUAUAUUUACUGUUAACAAGAAUUGUAUUCAUUUGCUAACCAAUUGGGAUAGAUGUUAUUCUUUCUUGUGUGUCUGUAAACUAUUGUUUUUGCGGGCUUUGGGAGAAGGCGCGAUGGGGACAGAGAGAGGAGACGCGAUGCUGUAAGCUGGGCAACGGAACGGACCCUAAGCGGGAGUCCGAGGCCCAGGUUCUUUGGCGAGGAAAGGAGAUGAGGACAGACUCUUGUGGAGUGACUGGUCGACCACUGUGGUUGGUCCCAGGCGGCGCGUCGAGGAGGUCGGAGGGGAUCGAAUGGUGGAAAGAAGACUCUGUUAAUUGAGCUCCAACGGUUGUGCACGAAGUGGCUGAACUUUGAGCAGAAAAUCAGGACCGCACUGCAGUGCAUCUAGCAGAGCUAUUGCGUCACAAUGCCAAUGAUCCCGCGUUCGAGACUGAACUCUGCAAGUGUCCGUGUGAAAUUGGUUGUUAUCCCUGUGACGGCAUGGUCAGGAUAAGCCAGCUCCCUCCCACAUCCCAAAGAUUCGGCAGGUGUGCAGAGCCAUAACCAGGGUUUCAGACAAGUACAAGACAACCCUGGAAAUGCCCUGUAGCAACACUACAUGUUCCUCUGAAAGACAAAAGUGGAAGUGUCAAGAUCAAAUGUGAAGAAACUGAUGUAUGUGUUUACAGUCAAGAAAUUCUCAAGCUUCUCUCGGAUUCUCCAACUCAGAUUUGUGGAGGGAUAAAUUCCCAGAUGGACUGGGCAGCCUUGUCCACAUAACCAGAGAAACACUGCCACAAUGUCUUUGGAGAUCAGCAUGGAUUACCACCUGGUGCAGUAGGAUUUCCCACAGAUCCUUGUAAGAGGGGGAUACUCCACCCAUUGUACACCUUUCCAUCCUGACCAGCCCACUUACUUGCAAGGAAGACACAUCAAAGUUGCUGGUGAAUGCAGCAGGCCAGGCAGCAUCUCUAGGAAGAGGAUGCCAUGCACAAUUCUGAUUUGAUGGAGGCAGAUGUGAGAGCACGGAGGAACAUCUGGUGAAACUUCUGAAAUGCCUGUUUCGCUGCCGCUGCUACUGUGUGAUCCGAAAUCUCCGGAGGGGAAGGCCCUGAAUCCUCGGCUUUGCCUGUUGCUUGGCGGCCGGGGCUGGGGUCGGAGUGCUCAACAGAGAUGGUGCUCGGUGUCAGAGGCUCGAAGUUUUUGGACGGACUCAGAGUCAGACUGUGGUCGGGUGCUUCCAGGAUGCUGCAUCGGCAAGUUUGCGGCGCUGGAAGCUCAUGGCUCUCCCUUCUACCUUCUGCGUGAGAUGCUGGGGCUAUCGGGACUUUGAGACUUUUUUCCUACCGUGCCCAUGGUCUGCUCUUAUCAAAUUAUAGGAUUGCCUUGCACCGUUGCAACUGUACAUUAUAAUUAUGUGGUUUUUGUCAGUUUUAGUCUUUGUCUGUCUUGUGUUUCUGUGAUAUCAUACUGGAGGAACAUUGUAUCAUUUUUUAAUGCAUGCAUUUCUAAAUGACAAUAAACGAGAACUGA